GGAUGCGAUCAUACCAGCACUAAAGCACCGGAUCCCAUCAGAACUUCGAAGUUAAGCGUGCUUGGGCGAG
rnacentral:rRNA from 1 species